GAUAAACACUGGCGGCGUGCAUGAGACAUGCAAGUCGAACGAACAAUCCAGGGCUUGCCCUGGGGCGUUAGUGGCGAACGGCUGAGUAACGCGUGGGUGACCUGCCCGGAAGUGGGGAAUAACUGCCCGAAAGGGUGGCUAAUACCGCAUGCGGUCAUACGUUCAUUCGUAGGACCAAAGCAGCAAUGCGCUUCCGGAGGGGCCUGCGUUCGAUUAGCUCGUUGGUGAGGUAACGGCUCACCAAGGCGACGAUCGAUAGGUGGUCUGAGAGGAUGAUCACCCAGACUGGGACUGAGACACGGCCCAGACUCCUACGGGAGGCAGCAGUCGGGAAUUUUGCUCAAUGGGGGAAACCCUGAAGCAGCAACGCCGCGUAAGGGAUGAAGGCCUUCGGGUUGUAAACCUCUUUUCUCAGGGACGAUAGUGACGGUACCUGAGGAAUAAGCCACGGCUAACUACGUG
rnacentral:rRNA from 1 species